rnacentral:rRNA from 1 species
UAGGCGGACGGGGGAGUAAUGUCUGGGAAACUGCCCGAUGAGGGGGGAUAACUACUGGAAACGGUAGCUAAUACCGCAUAACGUCGCAAGACCAAAGAGGGGGACCUUAGGGCCUCUUGCCAUCGGAUGUGCCCAGAUGGGAUUAGCUAGUAGGUGGGGUAACGGCUCACCUAGGCGACGAUCCCUAGCUGGUCUGAGAGGAUGACCAGCCACACUGGAACUGAGACACGGUCCAG